rnacentral:lncRNA from 1 species
CGAGAGCAGGAGGAGAUCGGGGACAGACAGAUCGUGAUGGACACACGCUUCCCUGUGAAGUCACUGCAGAGAUAAAGGAAGAAACGGACACGGAACCGGAGCUGUCAGACACGACAUUGUCUGAGCAGACUGGAGGAGGGGACCCCGACUCCGGACGCCACCCCCGCAGAGGAGCAGCCCUCGAGCACAUCCAGGGUCACCCAGUCCUGGCCGGCAUCCUGGACCCAGAGGAGUUUGACACCCGUAGUGCUGGCGGCAGGAGCCUCUCCGCGGUGUCGCUGCAGGAGCAGACGGGCUACUACAGGCUGAAGAUGAGGAAGGUGGAGCUGGGGAUUGAACUCCUGGAGACCCAGCUGGACGCGAGUGUGGACAUCGCACCGAGGUGACUGAGUGAGAAGUGGUUUGGGGGGGGACGGACUCCUUUUGUACCCCAACAUAGGAAUCAUGGACACAAUAAAGAUGUUUCUUUUCAAUCGAUUGGGCUAUGGGCUUAUUUCCAAACAGUGUGGUGUGAAUCACUAUGUUGUUCUCUUUCAUAAAAAAAAGUAUUGAGCCAGGUCAAAAUCUUUUGUACCACAUUUUCCCCCCCAUCAUGGGAGUUGUUACAUCCCUGAGCUGCACACUGGUGGCAGAGUGGGAUCCCCAUGACCUGUAAAGAGCUGCACACUGGUGGCGGUGGUGGGAUCCCUAUGAACCGGAAAGAGCUGCACACUGGUGGCGGUAUUAGGAUCCCC